GAUGAAGAACGUAGCGAAAUGCGAUAAGUAGUGUGAAUUGCAGAAUUCAGUGAAUCAUCGAAUUUUUGAACGCACAUUGCGCCCCUUGGUAUCCCGAGGGGCAUGCCUGUUCGAGCGUCAUUUCACCACUCAAGCCUGGCUUGGUGUUGGGCGACGUCCCCUUUAGGGACGCGCCUCGAAACGCUCGGCGGCGUGGCACCGGCUUUAAGCGUAGUAGAAUCUUUCGCUUUGGAAGUCGGGGCCCCGCCUGCCGGAAUACCUACUCGUAAGGUUGACCUCGGAUCAGGCAGGGAUACCCGCUGAACUUAAGCAUAUCAAUAAGCGGAGGA
rnacentral:misc_RNA from 1 species